rnacentral:rRNA from 1 species
UGGGGAAUAUUGCACAAUGGACGGAAGUUUGAUGCAGCGACGCCGCGUGGAGGGUGUAGGCCUUCGGGUUGUGAACUCCUUUUUCUCGCGAAAAAGGCACAGUUUUGGCUGUGUUGAUGGUAGUGGGGGAAGAAGCGCCGGCUAACUACGUGCCAGCAGCCGCGGUAAUACGUAGGGCGCGAGCGUUGUCCGGAUUUAUUGGGCGUAAAGAGCUCGUAGGUGGUUCGUCGCGUCUGUCGUGAAAGCCAGCAGCUUAACUGUUGGUCUGCGGUGGGUACGGGCGGGCUUGAGUGCGGUAGGGGUGACUGGAAUUCCUGGUGUAGCGGUGAAUGCGCAGAUAUCAGGAGGAACACCGAUGGCGAAGGCAGGUCACUGGGCCGUUACUGACACUGAGGAGCGAAAGCGUGGGGAGCGAACAGG